rnacentral:rRNA from 1 species
GUGGGGAAUAUUGGACAAUGGGCGAAAGCCUGAUCCAGCCAUGCCGCGUGUGUGAAGAAGGUCUUCGGAUUGUAAAGCACUUUAAGUUGGGAGGAAGGGUAGUAACCUAAUACGUUGCUACUUUGACGUUACCGACAGAAUAAGCACCGGCUAACUUCGUGCCAGCAGCCGCGGUAAUACGAAGGGUGCAAGCGUUAAUCGGAAUUACUGGGCGUAAAGCGCGCGUAGGUGGUUCAGUAAAUUGGAGGUGAAAGCCCCAGGCUCAAACUGGGAACAGCCUCCAAAACUGCAUGACUAGAGUACGGUAGAGGGUAGUGGAAGUUCCUGUGUAGCGGUGAAAUGCGUAGAUAUAGGAAAGAACACCAGUGGCGAAGGCGACUACCUGGACUGAUACUGACACUGAGGUGCGAAAGCGUGGGGAGCAAACAGGAUUAGAAACCCGAGUAGUCC